rnacentral:rRNA from 1 species
AUUGAACGCUGGCGGCAGGCCUAACACAUGCAAGUCGAGCGGAGCGGCGGACGGGUGAGUAAUGCCAAGGAAUCUGCCUGGUAGCGGGGGAUAACGUCAGGAAACGGGCGCUAAUACCGCAUACUAUCAGAUGAGCCUAGGGCGGAGUAGCUUGUUGGUGGGGUAAAGGCCUACCAAGGCGACGAUCCGUAACUGGUCUGAGAGGAUGAUCAGUCACACUGGAACUGAGACACGGGCCAUACUCCUACGGGAGGCAGCAGUGGGAAAUAUUGAACAAUGGGCGAAAGCCUGAUCCAGCCAUGCCGCGUGUAUGAAGAAGGUCUUCGGAUUGUAAAGCACUUUAAGUUGGGAGGCGUUACCACCAGAAUAAGCACCGGCUAACUUCGUGCCAGCAGCCGCGGUAAUUC